AUUGAACGCUGGCGGCAUGCUUUACACAUGCAAGUCGAACGGCAGCACGGGUGCUUGCACCUGGUGGCGAGUGGCGGACGGGUGAGUAAUACAUCGGAACGUGUCCAGAAGAGGGGGAUAACGCAUCGAAAGAUGUGCUAAUACCGCAUAUGCUCUGAGGAGGAAAGUGGGGGAUCGAAAGACCUUACGCUUUUGGAGCGGCCGAUGUCUGAUUAGCUAGUUGGUGGGGUAAGGGCCGUACCAAGGCGACGAUCAGUAGUUGGUCUGAGAGGACGACCAGCCACACUGGGACUGAGACACGGCCCAGACUCCUACGGGAGGCAGCAGUGGGGAAUUUUGGACAAUGGGCGCAAGCCUGAUCCAGCAAUGCCGCGUGAGUGAAGAAGGCC
rnacentral:rRNA from 1 species